UAACCAUUUCAGUAGCUAUAGCUGUUGUGUCGUGGUGGAUAUGGAGAACUUUACAGUGGGUUUGGUUUAAGCCAAAGAUGCUUGAGAGUUACCUGAGAAGACAAGGUCUUGUCGGAACUCCUUACACGCCUCUUGUCGGCGAUUUAAAGAGGAAUUUCAGCAUGCUGGCUGAGGCAAGAUCCAAACCCAUCAAUCUAACAGAUGAUAUCACACCUCGUAUCGUGCCUUAUCCCUUGCAAAUGUUCAAGACUUACGGUAUGCUUCCUGGUUGACAUCUUGAUCCUCUCUGUUUAGUACUGUUGUAGCUUUCAACUUUUGUAUCUCAAUCUGGAUUGAAACAGGGAGAACUUUCUAUACAUGGCUUGGACCCAUACCAACAAUCACCAUAAUGGAUCCUGAGCAAAUCAAGGAAGUGUUCAACAAAGUUUAUGAUUUCCAGAAAUCACAUACGUUCCCUUUGGCCAGAUUAAUAGCCGCUGGACUCGUUAGUUAUGAUGGUGAUAAAUGGGCAAAACACCGAAGAAUCAUCAACCCAGCUUUCCACCUUGAGAAGAUCAAGGUUUAAAAUCUUUAUCUUCCAUAGUCCUGAAUCAGAUUAGAUUGCUUGAUGUAUAUAUGUUCAUUUGGCUCUGAGCCAGUUUGUGUUUUCUGCUUCUAUGUAAUAGAACAUGGUACCUGCGUUCCACAAGAGCUGCAGCGAGACCGUUGGCAAAUGGGACAAGUUGGUGUCGGAGAAAGGGUCGUCCUGUGUGGUGGACGUUUGGCCUGGGCUUGUGAGUAUGACUGCAGAUGUGAUCUCUCGUACUGCUUUUGGCAGCAGCUACGUAGAAGGGCAGAGGAUAUUUGAGCUCCAAGCGGAAAUAGCACAGCUCAUCAUACAAGCUUUUCGGAAAGCUUUCAUCCCUGGAUAUCGGUAAUAAGAAUCUCAACUUGUCUGCUUUUAGAACAAGGCCUUUUAGAGCUUGAGUAGUGCCGCAAUCUAUUAGAUAUUUUGAUCCAUGUUGUGUUAUAUUCUCUCUGUCGUCUGUUCAUGCAGUUAUCUCCCUACGAAGGGUAACAGAAGGAUGAAAGCAGCAGCUAGAGAAAUCCAAGUUAUACUGAGAGAGAUAGUUACCAAAAGGCUUAAAGCAGCAGCUAGAGAAAUCCAAGUUAUACUGAGAGGAGCUGGGUAUACUUCUUGAAUCGAAUUUGGGACAAACGAAAGGAAAUGGAAUGAGUAUUGAGGAUGUGAUGGAGGAGUGCAAAUUGGAAUGAGUACCGAGGAUGUGAUGGAAGAAUGCAAGUUGUUCUAUUUCGCUGGCCAAGAGACAACAUCAGUACUUCUGGUUUGGACGAUGGUUCUGUUAAGCCAACACCAAGAUUGGCAAGCUCACGCACGAGAAGAAGUGAGGCAAGUUUUUGGCGAUAAAGAACCUGAUACAGAAGGCCUUAACCAACUCAAAGUUGUAAGUAUAAACCAAAACAAAAACUUUUUAAAGUGACUUCACUACUUUUGUUGCAUUUUGAUGAUUUAAGAUGAAUGAUUUGAUCCCUCACAGAUGAGGAUGAUAUUAUAUGAGGUCCUUAGGCUAUAUCCUCCAGUAGCCCAGCUGACCCGAGAAAUCCACAAAGAGAUGAAGCUCGGAGAUGUGACAUUACCCGGCGGUGUUCAGAUCAGUCUACCUAUCAUGCUAGUCCAACGCGACACAGAGCUGUGGGGUAACGAUGCAGGGGAGUUCAAGCCAGAGAGAUUCAAAGAAGGUCUCUCAAAGGCAACAAAGAACCAAGUCUCUUUCUUUCCCUUUGCGUGGGGACCAAGGAUUUGCAUUGGCCAGAAUUUCGCAUUACUUGAGGCAAAGAUGGCAAUGACUUUGAUUCUACAGAGAUUCUCCUUCGAGCUUUCUCCUUCCUAUGUUCACACGCCUUUCACAAUCGCCACCAUUCACCCACAGUUCGGUGCUCCUCUUAUGCUGCACAAGCUCUAAUCACAUAACCCAUGUGCUGUUAUCAAAUAAACUCGUCUUUUUUACGUAAAAUCCGAGAUUAAAAAAAAAAAUUGAAAUGAAUAAUACAGUCUCUCUCACCACAGAAGAAACUAAAUUAAACACUACAGAGCUUAAAUAUCAAAGGAAUGAAGGGAUGAGAUAUGUAAUGUGACGUUUUCUUUUUUACUGAAGUAAAAUAUUAUAACAACCAGUUUAAGAUAGGGUUUGUGGUAUGUUAGAGCACUUUGUGAGUUAUUAUGAGCAUAUGGGGCACAUAUGAGGGAGUGGGCACUUUUUUGGAGUUUUUUCACUGUGCAACAAAAAAUAAUACCAUUAUACCCUUACUACACGUGGACAGUUAACCAAACUAUGGUUAACUUGUUUAAUCUCAGCCGUUGGAUGUCCAGGAGAAAGAAAUGAUCUAACGGUUUGUUAUUACUGAAAGAUGAGACAAUGGAAUUGUGUGGAUAUUGCCGACAAAAAAGAUCUAAUGGUUGUGGGUGAGCACGGUAUUCGGAGUGGAGUUUGGUUGUAAAGAGAGAUAACUGAAGGUAGUGGAUUAUAAGAAAAGAGGAUUAUAAGUUCUAAAUCAAGGAUAAAUAUAUUUUUCAUUGUAUAACAAAUUAUAAUUAUUUUUUCUUUACAUUUGAAGAUCCAUUUUACUAUAGUUUAUAAAUAUAAUCAUAUAACAUAUAAAUAUUUUUAAAAGAUAAAAUAUAAAUUAUCCACAUAAUCUUGAACACACGACAAUUUCUUAUAAUUUUACAUAAAAAUUGACAACACAAUCAUUUAAAAUUACCGUCCAUACAAGCACAUCCACCAAACUCUAACCACAUGGUCAUUUCAAUUCAUGUCUAAUUUAUUUCUUCACUCUUAACGAAAAGUAUGUAGCCAUAAACCCUAGAAUCAUUGUAGAAAAUCAUGGUUCUUUAACCAAAAUACCCUAAACCUACACUAUAUAAAAUUUACCCUACACACUAAACCCUAAACCUUCUAUACUAAACCCAAGCACCUAAACCUAAACCCUAAACCCUAAACUCAAAACCCUUAAAUUUAAAACCUAAACCAUAGAGAUUUAACCCUUAACCCUUAACCUUAUACCUAAACCUAAUUCCAUAACCUCUAAACCUAAACCACAAACCCUAAACCCUUGAUACUAAACCCUAAAGCAUAAACGAUAAACUCUAUACCCUAAACACUCUACCGAAAAGAACAAAACCCUAUACUCUAAACAAUAAAUACUAAACCCUAAAUAGUAAAUCCUAAACCCUAAAUACUAAACACGAAAUCCUAUACCUUACACCCUAAACAUUAUACCAUAACCUCCAACCCUAAACCCUAAACAUUAAUACUAAAUACAAAACCCUAAUUACUAGACACUAAACCCUAAAUACUAUACCCUAAAUAGUAAAUGCUAAACCCUAAAAACUAAACACAAAACCCUUUACCCUAAACACUUAACACUAUACCGAUAAGAACAAAACCCUAAACCCUAAACAAUAAACACUAAACCCUAAACAGUAAACAUUAAACCCUAACUAAACACGAAAUACUAUACCCUAAACAUAAAUACUAAAUACUAAAACCUAAUUAUUAAACCCUAACCUCUAAAUACUAUAUACCCUAUCCAUCAUAACUUAGCCACGUGGUCGAUAUAAAUUAAACUCUAAACCAUAAACAAUAAACCCAAUAAGCUUAACCCUUACCUUACCAUCAAAAUAUUGCUACAGGGUUGGAUAAAAACUCUUUCCAUGUAAACCUAACCACGUGAUUCCAUAUACGCUCAAAUUCUAAGACUAUACUAUACCCAUAAGAAUGAAACCCUAAACACUAAACAAUAAAAACUAUACCCUAAACAGUAAAUACUAAACCCUAAAUACUCAAUAAACCGUAAACUCUAAACAUAAAUAAUAAAUACUAAACAAUAAUUAAUGCAUCCUAAACCCUAAAUAGUAAACAUAUCCAUCAUAACAUAGCCACGGGGCUGAUAUACAGUAAACCCUAAACCAUAAACAAUAAACCCUAAACAUCUAAAGUCAAAACUCUCAACUCUAAACCAUUGAGACUAAACCAUUAACCCUAAACCAUAUAACUAAACCCUAUACCAUAAACCCUAAACCCUAAAGCAUAAGACUAAACUCUUAACCCUUAAGCAUAUAACUAUACCCUAUACCUAAACCCUAAAUCCUAAACUCUAAACCCUUAACUCUAAAUUCUAAACCCUAAUCUAAACCCUAAACAUGAAAUCCAAAACUAUAACCCUAAACCCUAGAAUAAAACCUCUAACUUUUAUCCCCUCAACCUUAAACCGUAACUUUUAUAGAUAUAACAUCAAUAACCACCACUUUGGAUCCAUAAUAAUCUAAAACAUGUUUCUUAAUCUGAAAACGUAUAACAUUAUUGAGAUCGAUCUGUUCAUACACAAUCAUACAAUAUACACUCGUAUUGUUGUUUUGUUAUAUGUAAUCGUAGAUAUAUAAAUAUGGAGAUUUCUAUGGAAUAACUUUUCUGGAUAUGACCACUAGAACUUGUUUCAUCAUAUUUUAUCACGAUCUUUUAUAUAACAUAACACUUAUUUUGUGGACAACAUUAUACAAAAAUCACAUUAGAUUCGUAACAUAACAAAAUAUUGGCUUUCAUAAUGUUUUCUCUAUACAUAAAUCAUUCAUAAAUUCAUAAUGCAUAAUACAUCAUCCAUUAUGCGUCAUCCAUAAUGUGGCAUCCAUAAUAUGUCAUACACAAUAGUCAACAAUAAUAGUGGUGACUGAUAGAGAUAUGUGUAGGAAGUCAUUGACACAAAUAUAUUUUUAAAGGAAAAAAUAUAAACUAUCCACAUAAUCUUGAUAACAUGACGGUCUUGUUUUUAAUUUUACAUCAAAAUUUACAAUGUAAUCAUUUCAAAUUAUCGACCAUCUAUGCACAUCCACCAAAUUCUGACCACGUGGUCAUUUCAAUCCAGGUCUAAUUUAUUUCUCACUCUCAAAAAACAUAUUUUCACCUCUACCGAAACUUCAGACAAAGUAGGGAAAAUUAGCCACUUUUCUUCUCAUGAAGCUUCUUCUUCUUGUACGAUUUAAUCUAGGAUUCAUGAUUUCAACAAAACCUCUUUCCUUAUAUCAUUGAUAAAUGAAACCCCAAGCUGUCAUAGAAAUUGGUUUUCACAUAUAUCUUUAUUAAUUAUACAGUAAAAUCUAAAAUUAAGUAGUAUCAAUUAAAAGAAGAAGAAGAUAAAAUAUUUGAAUCUGUUUGGGUGAGACUCAAACAAGACGAGACUUUGAGCAUUCGUUUAUGUCGUCCAUGGAGAUUUAAAUGAGUAAGACGACGUUGCUCUGGGAUUUGGGAAGCUUCUUGAGGAUAUUAAGGAGAAGAAAAUUGGGUUUCUGAAAUUCAAAUCACAGAUCUGAUGGAUAUGAAUCUAAGACGAAGUGUAGAUAAAUCAAUGCGAAAAGUAAAAGAUAUGAUUAUGAAAGACCAUGAAAAUUGAAAUUCAUUGAGGAGUCGUCUCUCUCGAAUUCCGACAGCAAAUUAAUUCAUCACAGAUCACUAUUACUAUCCUUGGUACAAGGUGAGAGUAAAAGACGAAGAAGAGAGAUGGAAGAAAAAAUAAGUAAUAAGAGAGAUAGAGAUAACGAAGAAGAGAGAGAGAUAAAGGAUGUUUGGGUAGUGAGAGAUAAAUGAUGUUUGGGUGAGAUGAAGAGAAAGAUAAAUAAAUGAAGAAGAGAGAUAUAGAUGAGACGAAGGAGAGAGAAAGAGGAAUGAUAUUUGGAUAAAGAGAAAGUAAAUAUUGGGACCAUGGUUAGUUAGGAUGAGUUGAGGGUGUUAUGGUAAAAAAACUUAAAAAUGUGACCACUACCCCUAAUGUGUUCCAGAGGGAGAUUGAGUUUCAAUAAAAUGUCCCAUAGAGUAAUAUUUCCUUUAAGAUACAGAACAAAAACAAAGGUAACAGAGAUAUGUAACGUUUAUUUUUUUAUUUUAUGUCGACACAACAAAAUACUUCAAUGUUUAGGUAAAAAAAAAAAAAAAGGGUAAAACCCAUGGAUUGGAUGGUAUUGGUAAAAAUGACAAAGAAACGUCACAAAGUUGAAGACGUUCGUCCCUUGCCCGCCACUCAAGUGAUGACUUAUAUAUGAGUCUUAUGACCAAUAAUAUACAUAUAUCUCCUCCUAUUUUUGUCAAACAAGUCCAAAUUUGCUUCUUGCUACGCCUUCGUGGCACGCAAAAUAUCAACAACACAAAAGAAUUGUCUGAACACAAACACUAUCAAGUAUUUAAGACAUCAGCGGUGAUGUCAUCACCACAUCCAUAUCUUUUCCAAAAUUUGCAACCUUUAUAUCCCGACAAUUUUUAGCAAAUUCUCUACCUCUUUCUCUUCUCUCUCUUCUGUGGGAGAAAAAAUGGAGAUAUCGCUUGCAUCGGUAACCAUUUCAGUAGCUAUAGCUGUUGUGUCGUGGUGGAUAUGGAGAACUUUACAGUGGGUUUGGUUUAAACCAAAGAUGCUUGAGAGUUACCUGAGAAGACAAGGUCUUGCCGGAACUCCUUACACACCUCUUGUCGGCGAUUUAAAGAGGAAUUUCAGCAUGCUGGCUGAGGCAAGAGCCAAACCCCUCAAACUAACGGAUGACAUCACAACACGUGUCGUGCCUUAUCCCUUGCAAAUGUUCAAGACUUACGGUACGCUUCCUGGUUGGCAUCUCUUGAUUCUUUAGAACUGUUGCAGAGUAUCUGUUCUAGAGAAAAAGGUUUCAACCUUUGUAUUUUUAUUAUAUCGUUGGAACGGAACAGG
rnacentral:lncRNA from 1 species